GAUGAACGCUGGCGGCGUGCCUAAUACAUGCAAGUCGAGCGAACAGAUAAGGAGCUUGCUCCUUUGACGUUAGCGGCGGACGGGUGAGUUACACGUGGAUAACCUACCUAUAAGACUGGGAUAACUUCGGGAAACCGGAGCUAAUACCGGAUAACAUAUUGAACCGCAUGGUUCAAUAGAGAAAGGCGGCUUUGCUGUCACUUAUAGAUGGAUCCGCGCCGUAUUAGCUAGUUGGUAAGGUAACGGCUUACCAAGGCAACGAUACGUAGCCGACCUGAGAGGGUGAUCGGCCACACUGGAACUGAGACACGGUCCAGACUCCUACGGGAGGCAGCAGUAGGGAAUCUUCCGCAAUGGGCGAAAGCCUGACGGAGCAACGCCGCGUGAGUGAUGAAGGUCUUCGGAUCGUAAAACUCUGUUAUCAGGGAAGAACAAAUGUGUAAGUAACUGUGCACAUCUUGACGGUACCUGAUCAGAAAGCAACGGCUAACUACGUG
rnacentral:rRNA from 1 species